GAUGAACGCUGGCGGCGUGCCUAAUACAUGCAAGUCGAGCGAACAGACGAGGAGCUUGCUCCUCUGACGUUAGCGGCGGACGGGUGAGUAACACGUGGAUAACCUACCUAUAAGACUGGGAUAACUUCGGGAAACCGGAGCUAAUACCGGAUAAUAUAUUGAACCGCAUGGUUCAAUAGUGAAAGACGGUUUUGCUGUCACUUAUAGCUGGAUCCGCGCCGCAUUAGCUAGUUGGUAAGGUAACGGCUUACCAAGGCAACGAUGCGUAGCCGACCUGAGAGGGUGAUCGGCCACACUGGAACUGAGACACGGUCCAGACUCCUACGGGAGGCAGCAGUAGGGAAUCUUCCGCAAUGGGCGAAAGCCUGACGGAGCAACGCCGCGUGAGUGAUGAAGGUCUUCGGAUCGUAAAACUCUGUUAUUAGGGAAGAACAAAUGUGUAAGUAACUAUGCACGUCUUGACGGUACCUAACCAGAAAGCCACGGCUAACUACGUG
rnacentral:rRNA from 1 species